rnacentral:rRNA from 1 species
AGAGUUUGAUCAUGGCUCAGAACGAACGCUGGCGGCAGGCCUAACACAUGCAAGUCGAGGGAGAAGCUCAGCUUCGGUUGGGUGGAAACCGGCGCACGGGUGAGUAACGCGUGGGAACCUGUCCUGGGGUGGGGGAUAACCGCUGGAAACGGCGGCUAAUACCGCAUACGCCCUGAGGGGGAAAGCUUUAGUGCCCUGGGAGGGUCCCGCGUCCGAUUAGCUUGUUGGUGGGGUAACGGCUUACCAAGGCUACGAUCGGUAGCUGGUCUGAGAGGAUGAUCAGCCACACUGGGACUGAGACACGGCCCAGACUCCUACGGGAGGCAGCAGUGGGGAAUAUUGGACAAUGGGCGCAAGCCUGAUCCAGCCAUGCCGCGUGAGUGAAGAAGGCCUUAGGGUUGUAAAGCUCUUUCACCGGUGAAGAUGAUGACGGUAGCCGGAGAAGAAGCCCCGGCUAACUCCGUGCCAGCAGCCGCGGUAAUACGGAGGGGGCGAGCGUUGUUCGGAAUUACUGGGCGUAAAGGGCGCGUAGGCGGAUUAUCAAGUCAGGGGUGAAAGUCCUGGGCUCAACCUGGGGACUGCCUUUGAAACUGAUAGUCUUGAGACCGGAAGAGGAUGGCGGAAUUCCCAGUGUAGAGGUGAAAUUCGUAGAUAUUGGGAAGAACACCGGUGGCGAAGGCGGCCAUCUGGUCCGGAUCU